rnacentral:rRNA from 1 species
GAUGAACGCUGGCGGCGUGCCUAAUACAUGCAAGUCGAGCGAACGGACGAGAAGCUUGCUUUUCUGAUGUUAGCGGCGGACGGGUGAGUAACACGUGGAUAACCUACCUAUAAGACUGGGAUAACUUCGGGAAACCGGAGCUAAUACCGGAUAAUAUUUUGAACCGCAUGGUUCAAAAGUGAAAGACGGUCUUGCUGUCACUUAUAGGUGGAUCCGCGCUGCAUUAGCUAGUUGGUAAGGUAACGGCUUACCAAGGCAACGAUGCAUAGCCGACCUGAGAGGGUGAUCGGCCACACUGGAACUGAGACACGGUCCAAACCCCUACGGGAGGCAGCAGUAGGGAAUCUUCCGCAAUGGGCGAAAGCCUGACGGAGCAACGCCGGGUGGGUGAUGAAGGUCUUCGGAUCGUAAAACUCUGUUAUUAGGGAAGAACAUAUGUGUAAGUAACUGUGCACAUCUUGACGGUACCUAAUCAGAAAGCCACGGCUAACUACGUG